UAAAAUUUUAAUUGAUAUCACGCCAAUUAAAUUUCAAUUGCUGUCUUUUUAUUAUUCCAGUUCCCAAUAGUGUAGAUCUCCUCCUUCUCUUCAUGUUUAUACGGAUGCUUUGGUUUUUCUGUGUUGAGAAGGAUUGGGUUAACUUUGGUGGCUGGUUGAUGGGUCGGUUUUGGGGCUGUCGUUUUGUUUUCGGAUUGAUUGGGAUGGAGGAGAGGUUGAGUGGGUUUUUCUGGCGGCUAACACUGGCGUGAAGGCUGCAGCUGUUUAAGAAGAUGGUUGUGGUGAGCGGUGCUGCUGUGGGUGUUUUAUAUGAGUAGUGGAUGCCAAGACAGAUGGAUGCCGUAGAAUCCCUUGUCUGCUUGUUACUUGUUACAGAUAAAAAGGGAAACUGUACAGUAUCUCUCUCUCUCUCUCUCUCAAUCUCUCUCACUCUGGUGUCAUCGUUACGUGAUGAAAAACCUUCUGUAUGUUUUUGUGCAGUGAAAGUUUUUUUAAAAAACGUUUGAA